GAACGCACCUUGCACCCUUUGGCAUUCCGAAGGGUAUGCUCGUUUGAGUGUCAUUGUACUCUCACACUCUCUGAUCCUUUGGAUUCAGGGAGCGGUGGACUUGGGUGUUUGCUGCUUUUCCUUGUGGCUCACCUCAAAUGUGUUAGUGCACCUCUUGGUUGGACAUAGAACGGCGUGAUAAGUGUCUUCGCCGGCGCCUCGCAAGAGGGUGGCCAAUUGGGAGCUCUGUGCUUUCAAACCGUCUUCGGACAAUCUUUGACAACUUGACCUCAAAUCGAGUAGGACUACCCGCUGAACUUA
rnacentral:misc_RNA from 1 species